AACCAUUCUCACCUGCGGCUAGACCUGCGGAAGGAUCAUUAUCGUUGGGCUCCUGCCCAUUCGAGAUAACACCCUUGCCUUUUUGAGUACCUUUUCGUUUCCUCGGCAGGCACGCCUGCCAACGGGGACCCUUCAAAACGCUUUGUAAUACCUGUCAUUGUCUGAUAUAACAAGCAAAAAUCAAAACUUUUAGCAAUGGAUCU
rnacentral:misc_RNA from 1 species